GCUUCGGUGCGCCGGGGAGGAAAGGCGCCUUGCUGUAGCCGUGGGGAAGAAGGGCUCGCGCCCAGGGAGGCCCUGCUCAUGCGCGCGUGCUGCUGCAGGGGCGUCGAGCACAGGGGGCAAAGGGAGGCGCUGGAGGGAAGGGACGCCAUGGGCAAGGAGAGGGAGGGAGCUCCAUGCGUGCUGGGAGAAUGGCGCCUGCUCUCCCUGCUGGGUUCCGAGGGGAGCAAUGAACCGGCCAUGGUGCAGAGGGGGAGGAGGGGAUGUCGACCCCCAUGGCUGGUGGCGAGAGGAAUGGAAGCUAGGGUGGCUGGCUUGAGGAAAGGGGAGGAGACGCCAUGGGAGGCCCUCCACUGGUGUGCGUGAGGAGCAGGAAGAAGGAUGGCGUGGGGAGAAGAAGUGGAGAUGGCCGGGAGAAAAAAAA
rnacentral:misc_RNA from 1 species